rnacentral:lncRNA from 1 species
GCCAUACAUUCAUCAUCCUCUAUAUUCUCUUUUAAUAAAAAUAAAAAAAAUCUUAUGUCAAAACUUCAAUUCAAUCUUAAUUUAUUCUAUAACAACCAAUUAAUAAUCAAAUUGGCCAAGAAUCAUGUUUUUUAUAUAUAAAUAAAAUAUGUCAAAGUACAUUAUUACUUUAUGAGAAAAAUAAUCAAUUCAAGAAACAUAUCUUUAUAUUACAUACACACAAGUAAAUAACCUAUAAAUGUUUUUACAAAAUUAUUAUUUUAAAAUAAAUUCGACCAACAUCAAACAAUUCUAAUAUUACUCAAGUUUCUUGAUAUCUCUCAAAUCGUCUCUUCUAUGAAUUCUAAUACAUUCCUAUAAUUCUAAAAAAUCCUUAAUCUUUACUUUAAAAUAUCUUUUCACCACCUUCUCACAAUUAAACUAAUUAUUAUAAAUUCCAAAGACAAAUCCUCUUCUUUCUAUAUAAUACUUCUUAAUUAAAUUUUUUGAAGCUA